rnacentral:lncRNA from 1 species
GUCCUGUCUCUAGAAGUUUAUUGUCCCUCUGCUCUGUAGUCUCGUCUUUGUUCCCUCAUGGCCCCUCUGUUUUCCUUUAUUCCUCCUCCAUCUUGAAUUGUUUUCUGCUCUUUGGUUCUUUUUAGUUUGAGUUGAAAUUUCGUCUGCGGUCCAUGGUGGACUUCAGUUCUUUGCAGUUAAUUAUCUCAAUGAAAUUGAUGGGCGAUCU